rnacentral:rRNA from 1 species
GACGAACGCUGGCGGCGUGCCUAAUACAUGCAAGUAGAACGCUGAAGAGAGGAGCUUGCUCUUCUUGGAUGAGUUGCGAACGGGUGAGUAACGCGUAGGUAACCUGCCUGGUAGCGGGGGAUAACUAUUGGAAACGAUAGCUAAUACCGCAUAAAAUUGAUUAUUGCAUGAUAAUUAAUUGAAAGAUGCAACUGCAUCACUACCAGAUGGACCUGCGUUGUAUUAGCUAGUUGGUGAGGUAACGGCUCACCAAGGCGACGAUACAUAGCCGACCUGAGAGGGUGAUCGGCCACGCUGGGACUGAGACACGGCCCAGACUCCUACGGGAGGCAGCAGUAGGGAAUCUUCGGCAAUGGAGGGAACCCUGACCGAGCAACGCCGCGUGAGUGAAGAAGGUUUUCGGAUCGUAAAGCUCUGUUGUAAGAGAAGAACGGGUGUGAGAGUGGAAAGUUCACACUGUGACG